rnacentral:rRNA from 1 species
AUUGAACGCUGGCGGAAUGCUUUACACAUGCAAGUCGAACGGCAGCAUAGGUGCUUGCACCUGAUGGCGAGUGGCGAACGGGUGAGUAAUACAUCGGAACGUGCCCAGUCGUGGGGGAUAACGUAGCGAAAGUUACGCUAAUACCGCAUACGAUCUAAGGAUGAAAGCGGGGGACCGUAAGGCCUCGCGCGAUUUGAGCGGCCGAUGUCAGAUUAGGUAGUUGGUGAGGUAAAGGCUCACCAAGCCGACGAUAUGUAGCUGGUCUGAGAGGACGACCAGCCACACUGGGACUGAGACACGGCCCAGACUCCUACGGGAGGCAGCAGUGGGGAAUUUUGGACAAUGGACGCAAGUCUGAUCCAGCCAUUCCGCGUGCAGGACGAAGGCCUUCGGGUUGUAAACUGCUUUUGUACGGAACGAAAAAGCUCUUACUAAUACUAGGAGUCCAUGACGGUACCGUAAGAAUAAGCACCGGCUAACUACGUGCCAGCCGCCGCAGUAA